rnacentral:rRNA from 11 species
GUUGCUGGCCUAAAUCCCCUGAAGACAGCAGAUCCUAUCUGAUCUUGGUAGUAAGCAGGAUUAGUCCUGUUUAGUAUUUGGUUGGGAGACCUCUGACAAAUACUAAGUGCUGUGUUCU